rnacentral:rRNA from 1 species
GGGGGGGGGGGGGGGGGUGGGGGGGGGGGGGAGGGGGGGGGGAGGGGCGGGGGGGGGGGGGCGGUGGGGGGAGCGGGGGGGGGGGGGGGGACGCGGGGGUAGACUAGCUAUAAAGCGGGGAUAACGUGGUGGCAACGUGGCGCAUAGCGGAUAAUAUUUUGAACCGCGUGGUGCCCAAGUGAAAUACGGUCUUGCGUGCAGUGCUCGAUACAUCCGCGCUGCAUUAGCUAGUUGGGAAGGUAACGGCUUACCAAGGCAACGAUGCAUAGCCGACCUGAGAGGGUGAUCGGCCACACUGGAACUGAGCCACGGUCCAGACUCCUACGGGAGGCAGCAGUAGGGAAUCUUCCGCAAUGGGCGAAAGCCUGACGGAGCAACGCCGCGUGAGUGAUGAAGGUCUUCGGAUCGUAAAACUCUGUUAUUAGGGAAGAACAUAUGUGUAAGUAACUGUGCACAUCUUGACGGUACCUAAUCAGAAAGCCACGGCUAACUACGUG